AAAAUACGGGAGGCAGCAGUGGGGAAUCUUGCACAAUGGACGAAAGUCUGAUGCAGCAAUUUCGCGUGAAGGAUGAAGCAUUACGGUGUGUAAACUUCUUUUAUGAGUGAAGAAUAUGACGGUAACUCAUGAAUAAGCACCGGCUAACUACGUGCCAGCAGCCGCGGUAAUUUUU
rnacentral:rRNA from 1 species